rnacentral:ncRNA from 2 species
UUGUCUUUGGGGAGGGGUGCGAUUCCCUACCGGCGGUAAAGUCCGCGAGCCUCGGCACGAAUCGGUGGAAUUCCGAUACCGACAGUACAGUCUGGAUGAGAAAAGAC